ACUGACUGUAUUUCUGUUUCAGGUGAUGGCUUUUCUAAGUGGUUUUGCUGGGGUAUACACAGAAGCUAUAAUAAAAAAAAUGUCCUUCGAGAAACAUCAAUGUGCAGAAUUUCUGGCUGUACAUUUUUGGAAUGCUCUUCAACUUAGUUGCCAUUUGUGUUCAGGACUUUGAUGCUGUCAUGAACAAAGGCUUUUUUCAUGGCUAAUCAUUUAUUACACUUCUGAUGAUUCUUAACCAUGCACUCAGUGGCAUUGCUGUAUCAAUGGUGAUGAAGUAUGCUGACAAUAUUGUCAAGGUGUAUUCAACUUCAGUCGCAAUGCUUCUGACGGCAAUUGUAUCGGUCUUCUUGUUCGGCUUCAAUCUAUCCCUUGCAUUCUUCCUCGGGUCUGCG